rnacentral:lncRNA from 1 species
AUGGUGGAGGAGGUGACAGAAAUUGCCGUGCCCGACGCCCGAGCUGCCAUGAGCAUCUAUGCGUGGGGGCUGGGUGCCCUUCCAGCACCGUUCCUGGGGUGCACGCAGCUUCCCAUGGCAGAUAGGACUGGCAGCCUCUUCACGCUGACGCUGGAGCGAGAGCUGGAGGGAUGUGGGCGCCGGCGCUCRGCCCUCAGGAUCCUGGCAGUCCCCGGGGGCCCCGAGCCGCUCUCUCCCCUGCUCGGGACGCUGGCUACAGGACACGCGCCGGCCAGCGCCGGCUCCCUGCCCUGGAUCGUCG